UACGUAGGGUGCAAGCGUUGUCCGGAAUUAUUGGGCGUAAAGAGCUCGUAGGCGGUCUGUUGCGUCGGCUGUGAAAACCCGGGGCUCAACCCCGGGCCUGCAGCCGAUACGGGCAGACUAGAGUUCGGCAGGGGAGACUGGAAUUCCUGGUGUAGCGGUGGAAUGCGCAGAUAUCAGGAGGAACACCGAUGGCGAAGGCGGGUCUCUGGGCCGAUACUGACGCUGAGGAGCGAAAGCGUGGGGAGCGAACAGG
rnacentral:rRNA from 1 species